UACGGAAGGCAGCAGUGGGGAAUAUUGCACAAUGGGCGCAAGCCUGAUGCAGCCAUGCCGCGUGUAUGAAGAAGGCCUUCGGGUUGUAAAGUACUUUCAGUCGUGAGGAAGGUGUUAAGGUUAAUAACCUUAGCAAUUGACGUUAGCGACAGAAGAAGCACCGGCUAACUCCGUGCCAGCAGCCGCGGUAAUACGGAGGGUGCGAGCGUUAAUCGGAAUUACUGGGCGUAAAGGGCACGCAGGCGGUUAAUUAAGUUGGAUGUGAAUCCCCGGGCUUAACCUGGGAAUGGCAUUCAAGACUGGUUAGCUAGAGUCUUGUAGAGGGGGUAGAAUUCCAUGUGUAGCGGUGAAAUGCGUAGAGAUGUGGAGGAAUACCGGUGGCGAAGGCGGCCCCUGGACAAAGACUGACGCUCAUGUGCGAAAGCGUGGGGAGCAAAC
rnacentral:rRNA from 1 species